CCUACGGGUGGCAGCAGUGGGGAAUAUUGCGCAAUGGGCGAAAGCCUGACGCAGCGACGCCGCGUGAGGGACGACGGCCUUCGGGUUGUAAACCUCUUUCAGCAGGGAAGAAGCGAAAGUGACGGUACCUGCAGAAGAAGCACCGGCUAACUACGUGCCAGCAGCCGCGGUAAUACGGAGGGUGCAAGCGUUGCUCGGAAUUAUUGGGCGUAAAGGGCAGGUAGGUGGUCUUAUUUGUCUCGUGUGAAAGCCUUGGGCUUAACCCAAGAAGUGCGCGAGAAACGGUGAGACUCGAGUACUGGAGAGGGUCGUGGAAUUCCCGGUGUAGCGGUGAAAUGCGUAGAGAUCGGGAGGAACACCAAUGGCGAAGGCAGCUCGCUGGGACGGUACUGACGCUGAGGCGCGAAAGCGUGGGGAGCAAACAGGAUUAGAUACCCGAG
rnacentral:rRNA from 1 species